rnacentral:pre_miRNA from 1 species
ACAACAACAUUCGGACCGUCGGUCUACCGAGCAAUAUCACCCGCUCGGUGGAAGAUCUUCCCUUUGUCGUUAUA